CUUGAUCGAACCCAGCCACAGCGGGCUGCCUGACCGAUCCUGACCAUAAGUGGCCAGCAGCGCCUGUGCUUC
rnacentral:antisense_RNA from 1 species